ACUUGGGACAGUAGGAAUAAGCACUUCAGAGUGAAUGACUCAGCUUCCAGAGUUAGAUUUUAAACUUUUCCCCAUUAAAUCUUAUAAAUUUGAUCGUUGGUUUAAUCUAAUUCAUCUAAUUCAAUGAUGUGGAAUUUAUUCAUGCACUUUCUCGAUUUUCUUCCUUCUUUUGAGGUCUAUAAUAAUAGUCGCAUUGACUUUUUGUUAGUAACCAACUCUAAAUCCAUCAGUUAGGUUAGUUGGUCAGACAUAGUUAAAAGGGUUUUAGAAUGAAAAGGGAGAGGUGCCUAAGAAUUUAAGAGGAAACUGGUGUCUUUUGGCAUGGUGCAGACCCUCGGAAAUCAAGGUAGUUGAUUGCUGUGUUUUAUGCUGCGAUUGAGCCGUUACGGGCUUGCAGCACGGAGCAUUCAUCAUGGUGAGACAAGGACGUCAUGCAUUAAGGGUGCGGGCGUGCGGUGAAUAGCAAAAUAAUAAGAUAAACUUAUAGUAAAAUAGUUACCUGUAUAUAUAUGGUAUAAAUAUAUGUAGAUGUAUAGUGAAAGUAUUUAGAGUUAGAUAUAAAUUAUUUAGUGAAGGAGAGGGCAUCCUGCUACAUGUUAUCCCGGGUUGUCUGGGAUUGACAAUUAUGUUGAAGAUUUCGUAUGUUUCAAUAAUCCAUAAAUAGAGGAAUUAUUCACUUUAUUUUUCCUAAUAAAAUACCAUGUUACUGUCAGUUCUUUGUAUCAGAUAAGAGAUUCGAACAAAUGCUUGCCUAACUGACUUCUGAAUUCAAUAUUUCAUUAUUCCUUGCAGAUAUUUUCAACCUAUUCCGGAGCCUGUUGUUCCGGAGAAUGAGCAGAGGGGUGGGUGCGCAUGCUGACCGGAAUUUCUCUCCAAUGCGUUGGCUCAAAUUCUUCAAUUCUUUUUUGUCUCAUUAGAUCACUCCCUCCCCCUUUUUGUACACUCAACAUGAGAUGCUUGAGUAAAUCAUGUCUGCCCUUGAUGAUGCCAUUAGAGUUCUGUUUACUUGUGGUUCAACUUUAGAAUGUUGCAUUUGUAGGGAAGAAUAUAUAAUUUUUGAAAUUUACAUGAGCAUACUGUUUUGGUGAAACAAGAGAUCGUAAUCGUUGGCAGUGAUAGCAAAAUUAAGUGUAUUGAAAGUUCUUGAUGAAAAACCAAACCUUUCAAUGGAUGACAUUUUUCUCCUAAUUGAACACAAAUUUGGUUUUUCUCCUAUUUGAAAGACAGGUGGGUAACAUUUUAUUCCCUACAAACACAUACUUCAAGAAUCAAGACUAUAUAUAUUAUAAUUUUAGCAUGAAAAAUAUAUAAUUAGGUAACAAUUAGAAAAACAAAGUUGGGAAGAUUAUAAUGAGAAAAACAAAAUUAGGAAGACUAUUCAUAUUUUGGGUUGGUCUAGUUCUUUGAACUCGAAAAAAUUGAGGAAAGGGGCUUGGAUCAUUUGGCAUGCGGUUAUUUGGAUUAUUUAGAAGAUGAGGAAUGAUAGGUUCUUCAACAAUAAAAUUUGGGGAGUGGAUGAAAUGGUGGAUCAAGUCAAAGUGUUAUCCUUGUAUUGGUGUAUUGACCAAGUAAUAAAUCUAAUAAUUGAUUAACUCAUCAAUAAUGCAGACUUACUUUUAUAUAUUUUUUAAAUAAAGACCUACUUUUAUAUAUAAAAAUAUAAAGUUGAAUGUCUUAUAUAUCACUAAACACAUUAUUAAAAUUUC
rnacentral:lncRNA from 1 species